rnacentral:rRNA from 1 species
UACGGAGGGUGCAAGCGUUAUCCGGAUUCACUGGGUUUAAAGGGUGCGUAGGUGGGUCUGUAAGUCAGUGGUGAAAUCUCCGGGCUUAACCCGGAAACUACCAUUGAUACUAUAGGUCUUGAAUUAUCUGGAGGUAAGCGGAAUAUGUCAUGUAGCGGUGAAAUGCUUAGAUAUGACAUAGAACACCAAUUGCGAAGGCAGCUUACUACGGAUUGAUUGACACUGAGGCACGAAAGCGUGGGGAUCAAACAGG